UUCUGUCCAAUUUCCUUUCUUUUCAUCUUUUUCUUCUAUCUUCCUUUUCCUCUUUCUUUCUCCUUCCACGUCUCAUUUCUUCUUCUCCCUUCAAUUUUCUUCUUCUCCCAUAACCUUGAAUAAGCCAUCAGCCGUCAAGCCCAGUAACCUAAAGAUCCAAGUCAGCGCCAGGGACAGCUUAGAGAGGGACAAGGAAGACAAUAAAUUCUCAGCUAUGGCAUGCUUGUGCUGGUCCAUUGGUUUCCUUUCCUCAGGUUGGUAGUCUCGUACACUAUUUGAUAAGGAGCACCAAUUUGGUGAAGAUCAGCUGCAUAUCUAAUUCACGAGAAUGUAGAGAUGUAUUUUUUAGGUGCAUAAUAAUAGAUAUAGAGCAUUUGCUAUACUAUUUUUAAGUUUAGAUGUAAUUAUAUUUGGUGAAUGAUUUUUAUUUGUGUUUUGAUGAAAUAUUUUGGAUUCAAUGUUAUAUUGACAAUUCUUAAUUAA